rnacentral:lncRNA from 1 species
AUGCUUAGCAAUAAAGAUGCCAAAUAUGAAAUUGGAGAACAGCUCUGUCUGCAUGCUAAUAAGAUUCAAGAAAGUUGUUCAAUGUUUGAAAACAGUGUAUGGCCCCUGCCCCUGCCCACCCACCAUCUGACCCUUUCUGUAUUGACUCGGAGCAGCUCCAGGCUUGCAAACUGUGGAAAUACCAACUUGGAGAACAGCUGAACUCACGCAGGGUCUGAGCCCAUCACGUGGGUUUGAAUUCAGUCCUUGAGAUUUCCUCUUCUGGAGGUUUUAUGUGCUUGGAGUGGGGAUUAAGAUGUAACGAGACACAAAAGUGGUGCUGCUGUGUCGUCUGGCACCUUGCAAAAGCUUUGGUUGAAGGUUUCCUCUAUUGUUCUUGAUAUUGGCUUCAACAAUUGCUCAGAACAGCAUUUUUAUUACCCUUAGGAAGGUUGCUUACCUUGGUGUCUUUUUUCCUGACAUACUCUGGCACUUCCUCAUGCGUGCACUUGUCUCCUUUCCUGCUAACAGCUAUUACAGUGUCUAAGCUUUGCUGUGGAAAUGUUCUCUUUGUUGAAAAGGCUCUCGGAAAAACCUCACUGUCAGCUUUAACAUAUUAGCUCACGUUAGCGGAGCACGCAGAAGUUGAUUUUGCAUUAGAUGUUAUUAAAUAUUAACAUGUUUACACUGCAGUGUUAGCCUACAGUCAUACACAGCCCUGGAGGAUUCUUUAGCUGUCAUCUGAUUUUUCUAAGCAGACUCCCAGCCGAGGCUCGACGGCUUCCUUGUGGCUUCUCCCAGCACGGAUGCAGGUUCUGACUGCAAAUACUCACGGUCCAUUUCCAUGCUCUGUCAAGUGACUUUCUUCAAGCAAUGCUGCCGAUGCUUUGAGCAAAUUUGUGCAGAAACGAAGCAGGAGCCCUCCUCGGGCAGUAGGCAUCUCUCAGAGGAGCAGUUUAGGUAAGGUACGGUUUUACUACCAGGAUGAGCCUUGCAGGGAGCUUUUAGAAGAAGUCUGUGAGCAGGUAGCUCAUCCCACCUUGGGUCUGCUCCAGGGAAGGUUUUGGCAAACAAAGCUAUGCAGGAACUGGCUGGGUUCACAUUAAUCCCUCAGUCUGUCCUUGCGCAGGUGGCAGACCUCGAGUACUGGUGUGGAGAGAGUGGUGGGGCAGCGACACCUUUUGUGGGCCACAUCAAACAUGCUGUGGUUAUGCCCCUAAAUGUGUCAAACUGAAGCUGAAAAGGACAUAAAAGCAAAACUUCAGCUUGCCCAGUAACUGUGGCUUUUUUACAGAGCAGAUCUUGAAGUGAAUCUCCCGAUUUAUUUUCUGUGAAUAAAGUCACAAACACCACCUCA